UGGGGAAUAUUGCACAAUGGGCGCAAGCCUGAUGCAGCAACGCCGCGUGAGGGACGACGGCCUUCGGGUUGUAAACCUCUUUUGGCAGGGAAGAAGCGAAAGUGACGGUACCUGCAGAAAAAGCACCGGCUAACUACGUGCCAGCAGCCGCGGUGAUACGUAGGGUGCAAGCGUUGUCCGGAAUUAUUGGGCGUAAAGAGCUCGUAGGCGGUUUGUCGCGUCUGCUGUGAAAACCCGAGGCUCAACCUCGGGCCUGCAGUGGGUACGGGCAAACUAGAGUGCGGUAGGGGAGAUUGGAAUUCCUGGUGUAGGGGUGGAAUGCGCAGAUAUCAGGAGGAACACCGAUGGCGAAGGCAGAUCUCUGGGCCGUAACUGACGCUGAGGAGCGAAAGCAUGGGGAGCGAACA
rnacentral:rRNA from 1 species